rnacentral:lncRNA from 1 species
AUAUAAAUGAUCGAGACCUGGUAAUGAUCAAGAAGUGUUCCUGAACCCCUACUAACGAGUCAAUCAGAACCUCGCUAUGUUCUCUUUGGUUCAAACCUCACAAGAAGAGACGGUCACGGAUACGCACGUGGUUGGUGUAUUUUUAUUUGAUUUAGUGUCAAAAUCUCUACCAUCGAAUAUUAUAAAUUUCCAAGUAACCACGUAACCGCAUGAACAUAUUUUCGUAAGAUUUAACCCUGCAGGCGUCCUCCAAGU